ensembl:misc_RNA 7SK 7SK RNA
ACAUGAGGGCAAUCUGGCUGCAACAUCUGUUACCUCAUUGAUGACCAGAGUUGAUUCAGGUGAUACGGCUCUUAGAUAAGUGAGUGCCCACUUCCUCUAUCAUUGCUGAAUGUGUGUCCCUCCUAAAGGUGCACACAGGCAUUUGGUCAGAGAACAACCUUCCCCCAAAGAGAAGGACCAUUCUUACAGGAAGGAUAUAUAAAUAGAUGCAUGUUCCUGCAAGAGUCUCUAAACAAACUCUCAAAGCCUACUGGUAGGAGAAUUUGGAGUAGUUAAGAUUCCAAGACUCUAGACAUAUUCAAAGAGUAUUUGCUUGUGGAAGUCUGCCUUUCUU